UCCUGCUAAAAAGAAAAAUGUCAGAACAUUCUAUGAAUAUGUUUGGGGAUUUAUUCAAGAACAGACUCACACUUGUCAAACUCAGCAAAUGAAGCAUAUUAAAUCAAAAACUUCAAAACCAAACAAAUUUGCCUGUAAAAUCAGAGGCCUAAAUCCAAUUGUUUGUCCCAACUAGAGGAAACUGAUUGAAUCAACUAGUGAAUGAAAUGUGUUGGGGAAAUGAGUUGGCUUUGGAUUCUCCACUGCUCUAUUUUCACCCCCAAUGACAGAGAAGUUCCACCAUUCUGGUAACCCAGCAGGCACAUGUACAUGAAGAGCGCAACAACAUAUUCUGCCUCACCAAGAUUCUGAAAAGUUUCAAAUCAAGGAUACAUUUGUUUUAAACAUCUGAUCAAAGGAAAUUUGUAUUACAUUCUGGAGAAAAAACCACAAGAACGCAAGAAUGAAAUGAGCAGCCUGCCUUGCUUUCUCUGCACUCCACCCACCCAACGCAAUUUCAAAACAGGUUUCACUAAUCUGAAAACAUAAAAUUAAAAUACUCCUGAAACCUGGGUAUUCUCAUUUACUUUUACCUCAAUGCACUAGUAUAAUGUGUCUCUUUGUUUAAUAUAAAUGGGUGGCCACAUACACCACCUCCUCUGUAGUUUAAUUAACUCCUUAAAAGCAGUUUAAGGAACAAUCUUUCAGCUCACAGUACAAAAAAUAAUAAGUGGCAAGUACCCUGAUUCAGACAUUCGCUUAAAACCAAUGAUCUCCCCCUUAAAAGAGCCUGAGAAAAUUACUUCAGAUUUUAUUGUCAGAACAGUCCAAAAGAAGUAUACAGUUGCCCCCCUGUUUGUAUGGAUUUCAUA